AUUUUCUUAGUAUAAUUAGUACUAAUGAUUUCCGAUCAUUCAGCCUUGGUUAACUUCCAGGAGGAAAUA
rnacentral:tRNA from 1 species